GAUGAACGCUGGCGGCGUGCCUAAUACAUGCAAGUCGAGCGAACGGACGAGAAGCUUGCUUUUCUGAUGUUAGCGGCGGACGGGUGAGUAACACGUGGAUAACCUACCUAUAAGACUGGGAUAGCUUCGGGAAACCGGAGCUAAUACCGGAUAAUAUUUUGAACCGCAUGGUUCAAAAGUGAAAGACGGUCUUGCUGUCAUUAUAGAUGGAUCCGCGCUGCAUUAGCUAGUUGGUAAGGUAACGGCUUACCAAGGCAACGAUGCAUAGCCGACCUGAGAGGGUGAUCGGCCACACUGGAACUGAGACACGGUCCAGACUCCUACGGGAGGCAGCAGUAGGGAAUCUUCCGCAAUGGGCGAAAGCCUGACGGAGCAACGCCGCGUGAGUGAUGAAGGUCUUCGGAUCGUAAAACUCUGUUAUUAGGGAAGAACAUAUGUGUAAGUAACUGUGCACAUCUUGACGGUACCUAAUCAGAAAGCCACGGCUAACUACGU
rnacentral:rRNA from 1 species